rnacentral:rRNA from 1 species
AUGGAAGACUUGAUCUACUUCGUCAACAAGCUGCAGCUUGUCCGCAGCAUUCUCGCCGACGACGGCGUGGGGAGCGCCCUCCCCAUCGACUCCGACGAGGUGCCUUACAUCGCCGUCGUGGGAGGCCAGGGUGUAGGGAAAUCUUCAUUAAUAGAGGCUAUUGUCGGAAAAGACUUUUUACCCAAAGGAAUUGCCACCCGUCGGCCGUUGGUUGUACAACUUUUUAGAACAGAAGAAGCCGUUGAGUAUGCAAGGUUUUCGCAUCAACCUGAGAGAAGAUUUGAAGACUUUGCUGAAGUUGCUCAAGAGAUAGCUGAUGAAACUGACCGAGAAACUCAGUCUCCCUUUGGAGUAUCAUCUAUCCCCAUCCAUUUAAGCAUAUUUUCACCAAGUGUUAUCAACCUCACUCUUGUCGAUCUACCUGGGCUUGUUACUAAAAUUGCUGAUGACCACCGGUCCGACAACACAGUUCAGGAAAUUCAGAAUAUGGUUGGAGCAUUCAUUGGGAAGCCCAAUUGCAUCAUUUUGGCUGUAUCUCCAGCAAACCAGGACCUUUCAAUUUCAGUAGCUGUCAAUACUUCACAGGAAAUCGACCCAAAUGGUAAAAGAACCUUUGACGUGCUUACAAAAGUGGACCUGAUGGAGAACCGAGCAACUGUUGUUAAUAUACUAGAGGGAAGGUUUUGCCCAUCGCGCUUUCCAUGGGUUGGUGUUGUCAACCGAUCACAGGAAGACAUCAAUAUCAACCUGGACAUCAUUGCUGCUCGGCGUAGAGAGCGUGACUAUUUUGGUAGGAUACCAGAAUACAAGCAUCUCGCACACAGAAUGGGGUCAGAACAUUUGGUCAGAAGUUUGGCCAAGUAUCUGGAGUCUUAUGUUAAAACAAGAAUCGGUGGUUAUUUGCUCAGUAACAAUUUCAUCAAAUCUGCAGUGACAAAGAAGAACAGGCUGCAGGGCUAUUCACUUAGAGCAUAUGGGACAUUUCCGUCGUAUCACCUGUGUACGGAAGGUGAACAAAAUGAGAUGACCUUUCAGUGCACAGUUGAUGUUCAUGGCCAAAAGUUCGCCUCAGCAAUGCAUCACCGCCAUCUCAAAGACGCGGAGGAGGAUGCUGCCGAUGUGGCCUACACAUCGUUAAUGGGAAAUGAAACAAUGGAGACUCUAUUUGAGCUGCUCAACAAGGAUACUAUGUGCAAGGUUACCCUUCUGCUUGGGUACGUGCACAAGAAGAAAGUUCCAGAUCCAGUUUAUGCAUCCUCCAGGGUGUCAGUAGAGCCCCAUAGGACAUUCUGGCUUUCCACAGUCACGUUGGAUGAUAACACCUACAUUGGGGAGUUUGCAAAUACCAGGCGCAAGUCCAUCCAGAAUGCUGCUUUCUCAGCUGUUUCCUCCAUGCUUGAGUCUGGGAAUGACCUGAUGAUCGAGUGUCUUAUCUCCAAGAGGAUGAGGACUGAGGUGCCUAGGCGGAAGAGAUGCCGAAAUGCGUAG